rnacentral:rRNA from 1 species
AAAAACUCCGGUGGUAUGAGAUGGACCCGCGUCUGAUUAGCUAGUUGGUGAGGUAACGGCCCACCAAGGCGACGAUCAGUAGCCGGCCUGAGAGGGCGACCGGCCACAUUGGGACUGAGACACGGCCCAAACUCCUACGGGAGGCAGCAGUGGGGAAUAUUGCACAAUGGGGGAAACCCUGAUGCAGCGACGCCGCGUGAGUGAAGAAGUAUUUCGGUAUGUAAAGCUCUAUCAGCAGGGAAGAAGAAAGACGGUACCUGACUAAGAAGCCCCGGCUAACUACGUGCCAGCAGCCGCGGUAAUACGUAGGGGGCAAGCGUUAUCCGGAUUUACUGGGUGUAAAGGGAGCGUAGACGGCUGUGCAAGUCUGAAGUGAAAGCCCAGGGCUCAACCCUGGGACUGCUUUGGAAACUGUGGAGCUAGAGUGCUGGAGAGGUAAGUGGAAUUCCUAGUGUAGCGGUGAAAUGCGUAGAUAUUAGGAGGAACACCAGUGGCGAAGGCGGCUUACUGGACAGUAACUGACGUUGAGGCUCGAAAGCGUGGGGAGCAAACAGGAUUAGAUACCCUGGUAGUCCACGCGGUAAACGAUGAAUACUAGGUGUUGGA